UGGGGAAUAUUGCACAAUGGGCGCAAGCCUGAUGCAGCCAUGCCGCGUGUGUGAAGAAGGCCUUCGGGUUGUAAAGCACUUUCAGCGGGGAGGAAGGCGUUAAGGUUAAUAACCUUGGCGAUUGACGUUACCCGCAGAAGAAGCACCGGCUAACUCCGUGCCAGCAGCCGCGGUAAUACGGAGGGUGCAAGCGUUAAUCGGAAUUACUGGGCGUAAAGCGCACGCAGGCGGUCUGUCAAGUCGGAUGUGAAAUCCCCGGGCUCAACCUGGGAACUGCAUUCGAAACUGGCAGGCUAGAGUCUUGUAGAGGGGGGUAGAAUUCCAGGUGUAGCGGUGAAAUGCGUAGAGAUCUGGAGGAAUACCGGUGGCGAAGGCGGCCCCCGGGACAAAGACUGACGCUAAGGUGCGAAAGCGUGGGGAGCAAACAGG
rnacentral:rRNA from 1 species